GGGGGAUGCUCAGCCCUCCUCGACAGAAGGAGUCAGCGUGAAACAGCCUUAGGUUCCCAGGCUCCAGAUCCUCUUCUCCUCCCUCACUGGGUCCCAGUCAUUGCCCCAUUGUCUGGAUCUCGGAGGCUGCCCCUGGUGCUGGCUGAAGCCCACCCACCAUCCCCAAAGGCCGCUCCUUCCCAGGAUGUCCAGAGGCUCUCGGUGCGUCGUUUCCCAGGUGGCCCCUGACGACUGAGGGCUCCAGGCUCUGCACAGUCCACGCUGACACUGGGAUCGGAAGGGCGGAUUCCUCCCUCCUUC
rnacentral:lncRNA from 1 species